rnacentral:rRNA from 1 species
AGAGUUUGAUCCUGGCUCAGGAUGAACGCUAGCGGCAGGCUUAAUACAUGCAAGUCGUGGGGCAGCGCGGUGUAGCAAUACAUGGGCGGCGACCGGCAAACGGGUGCGGAACACGUACACAACCUUCCUACAAGUGGGGAAUAGCCCAGAGAAAUUUGGAUUAAUACCCCGUAACAUAUAAAGAUGGCAUCAUUUUUAUAUUAUAGCUACGGCGCUUGUUGAUGGGUGUGCGGCUGAUUAGGUAGUUGGCGGGGUAACGGCCCACCAAGCCUGCGAUCAGUAGCUGAUGUGAGAGCAUGAUCAGCCACACGGGCACUGAGACACGGGCCCGACUCCUACGGGAGGCAGCAGUAAGGAAUAUUGGACAAUGGGCGCAAGCCUGAUCCAGCCAUGCCGCGUGAAGGAUUAAGGUCCUCUGGAUUGUAAACUUCUUUUAUAAGGGACGAAAAAGGGAAUUCUUUCUCACUUGACGGUACCUUAUGAAUAAGCACCGGCUAACUCCGUG